rnacentral:rRNA from 1 species
UACGUAGGGGGCUAGCGUUGUCCGGAUUUAUUGGGCGUAAAGAGCGUGUAGGCGGCCAGAUAGGUCUGCUGUGAAAACUCGAGGCUCAACCUCGAGAUGUCGGCGGAAACCAUUUGGCUAGAGUCCGGAAGAGGAAAGUGGAAUUCCUGGUGUAGCGGUGAAAUGCGCAGAUAUCAGGAGGAACACCUGCGGCGAAGGCAGGUCUCUGGGCCACUACUGACGCUGAGAAGCGAAAGCAUGGGGAGCGAACAGG